rnacentral:lncRNA from 1 species
GGCGAGGCCGGCCGCGAAGAUGCCAGUGGCGGUGAUGGCGGAAAGCGCCUUUAGUUUCAAAAAGUUGCUGGAUCAGUGCGAGAACCAGGAGCUCGAGGCCCCUGGAGGAAUUGCUACACCCCCAGUGUAUGGUCAGCUUCUAGCUUUAUAUUUGCUCCAUAAUGACAUGAAUAAUGCAAGAUAUCUUUGGAAAAGAAUACCACCUGCUAUAAAAUCUGCAAAUUCUGAACUUGGGGGAAUUUGGUCAGUAGGACAAAGAAUCUGGCAGAGAGAUUUCCCUGGGAUCUAUACAACCAUCAACGCUCACCAGUGGUCUGAGACGGUCCAGCCAAUUAUGGAAGCACUUAGAGAUGCAACAAGGAGACGCGCCUUUGCCCUGGUCUCUCAAGCGUAUACUUCAAUCAUCGCCGAUGAUUUUGCAGCCUUUGUUGGACUUCCUGUAGAAGAGGCUGUGAAAGGCAUAUUAGAACAAGGAUGGCAAGCUGAUUCCACCACAAGAAUGGUUCUGCCCAGAAAGCCAGGUAGGGGCCCUGGAUGUUUCCUUUAACAAGUUUAUUCCCUUAUCAGAGCCUGCUCCAGUUCCCCCAAUACCCAAUGAACAGCAGUUAGCCAGACUGACGGAUUAUGUGGCUUUCCUUGAAAACUGAUUUAUCACUCUGAGUUCAAGAUUCAUCUUCAGAAUCCUGUAUACUGACAAACGUAGAAAUGUAAAGUUUGUAUUUUCAAUUUAUUGGAUGGCUUAAGCACCUCAGCAUUCCUUACUAUGUGAUAAAAUACAUAUAGAAUAUAAGAUAUACUAUAUACAUUUUGUCCAUAAACGUUAUGCUGAAUAGUUGUUGAAACAGUUCUCAUUUUGUAGUAUUUAAUAAUCUGGAUGGAGCCUGUCAGUAUUACAGUUAGUUUUCUAGUGACUCAUAAAAUAAGAUUUCCUGUUUCAUGUAGAAUAGUGUUUGUCAACUGUCUUUUCUCUGUCCCAGCACAUGCCGUACUCUUAUAUGUACCAUUGGUUGAUAAUUAUAAUGAUUCAUUUGGACUUGAAGAAAGAUUGUCCCCAGGCACAGUAUCUGAAUCACUGGGGAUUAUGAUUCACCCUCUUUGGAGAACAUGCUCUCUUUUCACCCCCCACCUCCUGAGAGCCACUAAUGUAAGAUACAGAAACAUAGCUGAGGAACAAAUAGACCAUUUCCAUACUAAACCAGUUUGUUAACUUUAGAUUUUUUCCAAUAGUGUGAGUAUAUCCAUUGCUGGCAGUGGAGGGCUUGCCAUGAAAAUGCAACUUAUUUAAGACAUUUAUGAGACAUAUUAACUUGUGCUGUCGCCUUUUAGAAGGAGAAACUUAAGUGUGGAAUGCAUUAUAUGGGCAAAGAAGCUAUGAAGAUACAUGAUACACUUUGUACAACUAUCCUGCAGCCCAUUGGUUGCUUAUAUUUAUCGCUUGGCUCAAGUUCUGCCCUUUGGAGAAAUACUGAGCAAGUCUUUCAUUCUCUGUGUGACAGCCCUCUGAAUAUUUGAAGUUGUUUGUUGUAACUUAAGGUUAUAACAGCCCUUAGUUCAUUUACUCUGCAUUUGUUCAAUAAAUAUUUAAC